AGGGUGCCUUCGGGAGCCAGGACACAGGUGCUGCAUGGCUGUCGUCAGCUCGUGUCGUGAGAUGUUGGGUUAAGUCCCGCAACGAGCGCAACCCUUGUCAUUAGUUGCCAUCAUUUAGUUGGGCACUCUAAUGAGACUGCCGGUGACAAACCGGAGGAAGGUGGGGAUGACGUCAAGUCCUCAUGGCCCUUAUGGGUAGGGCUUCACACGUCAUACAAUGGUCGGUACAGAGGGUUGCCAAGCCGCGAGGUGGAGCCAAUCCCAGAAAGCCGAUCGUAGUCCGGAUCGUAGUCUGCAACUCGACUACGUGAAGUCGGAAUCGCUAGUAAUCGCGGAUCAGCAUGUCGCGGUGAAUACGUUCCCGGGUCUUGUACACACCGCCCGUCACACCAUGGGAGUGGGUUCUACCAGAAGUAGGUAGGCUAACCGCAAGGGGGCCGCUUACCACGGUAGGAUUCAUGACUGGGGUGAAGUCGUAACAAGGUAGCCGUAUCGGAAGG
rnacentral:rRNA from 1 species